CCUACGGGGGGCUGCAGUGAGGAAUAUUGGUCAAUGGACGAGAGUCUGAACCAGCCAAGUAGCGUGAAGGAUGACUGCCCUAUGGGUUGUAAACUUCUUUUAUAUGGGAAUAAAAUGUUCCACGUGUGGCUUUUUGUAUGUACCAUAUGAAUAAGGAUCGGCUAACUCCGUGCCAGCAGCCGCGGUAAUACGGAGGAUCCGAGCGUUAUCCGGAUUUAUUGGGUUUAAAGGGAGCGUAGGUGGAUUGUUAAGUCAGUUGUGAAAGUUUGCGGCUCAACCGUAAAAUUGCAGUUGAAACUGGCAGUCUUGAGUACAGUAGAGGUGGGCGGAAUUCGUGGUGUAGCGGUGAAAUGCUUAGAUAUCACGAAGAACUCCGAUUGCGAAGGCAGCUCACUGGACUGCAACUGACACUGAGGCUCGAAAGUGUGGGUAUCAAACAGGAUUAGAUACCCGUGUAGUC
rnacentral:rRNA from 1 species